GGGGGUGGGUUGGUUUUGACAGCAAGGUAAAUGGCUUUGUAAGCAUGCAGGCACAGGUAACAAAUGCCUACUUAAACAGGGUUACAAAACAAUAAUUGGCGAAAAUACUUACGCUUUUGCAGCGUAAUCGAAGUACAGUAGAUUACAGCGAACCGACUUAAUAAAAGUCGGGCAAAACAUCUCUCAAAAGCCUUUCGCUCUGCGGCUAAUGAUAUAGAGGUGCUCGGAUAGCAGAGAUAGUUGGCGGGAAGUUUCGUACCGACAGCGAAAAUUUAGAAACUAAGCCUUGAAUGGAGUGUUUGUCCUCAGUUCAUUGACGAAAAUCAACGACAAAAUAAGCAUGUAGAAAUCAUUGUUGUUUCUUGUUUGGACCAGGGUUCGAAUCCCUGCACCUCCACUU
rnacentral:tmRNA from 1 species